rnacentral:rRNA from 1 species
CCCUUAGAUGUCCUGGGCCGAACGCGCGCUACACUGAGUGUCUGAGAUACGAGUCUGCCUGGUCCGGCAAGGUCUAGGUAAUCGCUAAAAGACACAUCAUGCUUGGGAUAGAUUAUUGCAAAUAUUAAUCUUGAACGAGGAAUUCCUAGUAAGCGCAAGUCAACAGCUUGCGUUGAUUACGUCCCUGCCCUUUGUACACACCGCCCGUCGCUACUACUGAUUGGAUGUUUAAGCGAGGUUCUCGAACUGCUAGCGACUUAGCUUCGGUGAGGUCGCAGUGUGGGAAGUGAACCUAGCUUUGGUGUCUAGAGGAAGUAAAAGUCGUAACA